GUGCUCAGUUUGGCAGUAAAUAUUCUAAAAUUGGAAUGAUACAGAGAUUAACAUGGCCCCUGUGCAAGGAUGACAUGCAAAUUUGUGAAGCAUUUAAUAUUUUU
ensembl:snRNA U6 U6 spliceosomal RNA